GUUUGUUCGGCCAUGACAUGAGGUUAACUUUUACUCCCAACCCUAGCAGAGACCAGGACGAACUGAACUCUUACGCAAAGCACCUGCUCUCUGUGGGUAAUAGGUGAACACUCCACUAUGUGCACGUUUGUGAUAUUUUCUGCGACUAGUUUACUCAAGUACAGUUUUGAGCUCCUUCCCAGAAAAUACGGUCUAUCCUGUUGCUCCUAUUCUUCAGCACAUGUUGUGAAGCUGCAUGUUUUCAUUUCUACCAGAACCAGAUGUCUGCUUCUGGACAUGGUCUGUCUGAAAUAUCAGAGUCACAAUCGCAGAAAUACUUGAUGCACUGCCAAAUAUCUCUCCUUUGCAAUUAUUUUAACAGAAAUAUGAAGGAAGAAAGCCUCUGGAUCAGUCACAGUUCAGUUCAGUCAAGAGGUCGGUUGCUGGGCAGCUGGGGUUGCUGGAUGAGUCAGACUGGAGGCCAAUGGACGAUAAUCAUGUACAGGGUUUGUUGUAGUUUUGAUACUUUUACUAAACUAAAGGAUCUGUAAACUUCCUCCACCACUGGUCUGGUUAUUUCUACUAUAAAACAUGUAAACUUUCUUCAUGGAUUCUUAAUAAAAAAUAUUUAUGUUACAUUAUUUAGAUUCAUUAUUUAUACUAAAAUACCUACAACUGUGACUUGGGACCUCAGUCCCACAGCUCUGCUGACUCUCCAGCUUUUACUCAGAGAGGGUGCAGCUGUGUGUCAGCUUUUAUUCUGCUUUUACAACCACAGCAGGUCAAACCAUGCAGUGUGUACACCGACAUCUCUGCUUCAUCCCACUGACAUGAAACACACAUCUGUGAAUGAUCUUUUUGGAAAAAGUCAAAACAAAAAAAGGAAAAGAAAAAACUUCUUUGCUCCACUCUAACUUCUGUUGUCAAAUGAAUAUUCAUUCUGUGGAUUAUCAGGAGGCCAUGAGGCCUGAAGCUGAUUGUGCUGCAACUUUCUUCAGUCUGUAGGAGACUCAUUUCAUCUUUUU
rnacentral:lncRNA from 1 species